AUCUCCUGUUACCAGCACAGAGCCCUCCGGCCUGAGGGACAGCCGGGUGCCAGGACUGGAAGUGCAACAAGGCUCCGAUUGCUGGUGAGGCUGAGAGAGGCUGUUCCCCUCCAAAACCUCUGUGAUUGCUCUCGAGAGAAAACUUUUCAGCAGAGAACGGAGAUCCAGUGAAACCAGAAUGAUUCAUUGGUGUUCAACCUGAGAAUUUAUUUCUUUUGAUAUGCCCUGUGUAUGGAGGCACCAUGUUGGUUCUGAUUUAUUUUGUGAAAGGAGAGUAGGGGAGAAAAAUCUGCGCUUUUCUGUGGCUUCAGCUCAAGAUGAGAUCAAUGGAAAUUGGUGGAUCUUUAGGACCCCCCCAGAAAUUAUCCAGGACAAGAGGAAGAAGUGUUUCGACCCUCAGGAAUAAAGUGAUACCAGGUUGCUUCAUUCUCAUCCACCACGGGGCAAAGAUCUUCCAAACACUCAGGAAGGCUCUGCAGGAACACUGGGAUCGCAUCUUCCAGAGGAGUUUUGUUGGACCUGGACACUCACUGGGAUUUUGCAGUCAGUUCUGCACAUCAGGACAGGAAGAAUUGGAAGGAAAAUCAGCUGUGGACAAAACUGGC
rnacentral:lncRNA from 1 species